AAUGUCUAUUCUGCACAAGGUACAGACAAGUCUGGUGGGAUCCAUGCCUGGUUCAUUUUAAUAAAUGUGAGCUUGUCCACGUUGGCCGUGGACAGGCGGCUGCGCUUGUCUGUGAUAACCUCGUGCCGAUCGCACGUCCCCGUGACGGCGACAACGCAUUCGGAUGUCUGCCCUAUCAACUUUCGACGCUAUUUUCCGCUCCUACCAUGGUGACCAUGGGUAACGGGAAAUCAGCGUUCGAUUCCAGAGAGGGAGCCUGAGAAACGGCUACCACAUGUAAGGAAGGCAGCAGGCGCGCAAAUUACCCACGCCAGACGCGGGGAGGUAGUGACGACUAGACAUGUGCAAUUCAUUUCGGGCCGAAUAUGAAUUCGGAAGAAUUUCGGGUACUUCAAAAUGUCUGAAUU